rnacentral:tRNA from 2 species
GCGGCAUUAGCUCAGUUGGUAGAGCGAUACCUUGCCAAGGUAUAGGUCAUCGGUUCGAACCCGAUAUGCCGCUCCA